rnacentral:rRNA from 1 species
UACGUAGGGGGCUAGCGUUGUCCGGAAUCAUUGGGCGUAAAGAGCGCGUAGGCGGCCAGAUAAGUCCGGUGUGAAAGUCAAAGGCUCAACCUUUGAAUGCCGCUGGAAACUGUCUGGCUAGAGUCCGGGGAGGGGGCGAGUGGAAGUUCCUGGGUGUAGCGGUGAAAUGCGCAGAUAUCAGGAGGAACACCAAUGGCGAAGGCAGCUCGCUGGAACGGGUACUGAC